CUGGCUCAGGAUGAACGCUGGCGGCGUGCUUAACACAUGCAAGUCGAGCGAACAAAGCGAUGUGAAGCCUUCG
rnacentral:rRNA from 1 species